rnacentral:lncRNA from 1 species
AAAAUACUGAACAUAGACAGGAGUGCACUCAGAGCUCUACAGAAUGUGUAGCAGUUCCUUCGACACAGCAGGAGGCCAACAACAGCAUGUGUCAGAAGCCUAUACAGCUUCAUCACUCACCUAACAGAGUAAAGAUGAUGCCUGUCUGAGAAUUCACACCCACAGCAGUUACAAGCAUUCGUCCAGAGCCUUCCAUGACAAUUACUCAAUACGAUGAUGCAUCAAGAGACAUUUUUACUCAAGUCUUUGCAGGCAGCAACAUGGGAGAAGAGAGUUUUGGAUCUUAAGCAACAGAUCUGUACACGGUGGCUGAUAAAACGAAAGCCCCAAGGAUAUGAUGGCUGCAAUUUCCAAGAUUAUAAGAGUCACAUCCUGCAGUGCUUCCCACACUAGCUGUAUGAACGUUUUUGGCUUCU